GGGGGAAUUUUCCGCAAUGGGCGAAAGCCUGACGGAGCAAUACCGCGUGAGGGAUGAAAGCCUGUGGGUUGUAAACCUCUUUUCUCAAGGAAGAAGUUCUGACGGUACUUGAGGAAUAAGCAUCGGCUAACUCUGUG
rnacentral:rRNA from 1 species